UACGUAGGCAGCAAGCGUUGUUCGGAAUUACUGGGCGUAAAGAGUGUGUAGGCGGUGCUCUAAGUCUGUCGUGAAAUCUCCCGGCUUAACUGGGAGGGUGCGGCGGAAACUGGAGUGCUCGAGGGUGGGAGAGGAAAGCGGAAUUCCUGGUGUAGCGGUGAAAUGCGUAGAUAUCCGGAGGAACACCUGCGGUGUAGACAGCUUUCUGGACCACUUCUGACGCUGAGACACGAAAGCGUGGGUAGCAAACAGG
rnacentral:rRNA from 1 species